CCCCAAAAAAAAAAAAAAGGAAAUUCAACAAAGCUUCAUCAAUGGAGGACAACUACAUAUUCUCAAAAGCAUCACACUAUCUUGAUCAAGAUAGUGUGAAGCAAAAUCAAUUCAUGGUACCCAACAAAAGCUUCAACUCCAAAGCUUCACCUACAAAAGUUUCAUCAAUGGAGGACAACAACAAAUUCUCAAAAGCUUCACACUAUCUUGAUCAAGAUAGUGUGAAGAAAAAUCAAUUCCUGGUACCCAACAAAAGCUUCACCAACAAAAGCUUCAACUCCAAAGCUUCACCUACAAAGCUUCAACUCCAAAGCUUCACCUACAAAGCUUCAACUCCAAAGCUUCACCAACAAAACCUUCAUCAAUGGAGGACAACAACAAAUUCUCAAAAG
rnacentral:lncRNA from 1 species